CACUGCCAUUCACCUCACCCUCGCCCUCAUUGACCCCCCCACCACUGCUAAUUUAAAUCCCUUAACGAGGAACAAUUGGAGGGCAAGUCUGGUGCCAGCAGCCGCGGUAAUUCCAGCUCCAAUAGCGUAUAUUAAAGUUGUUGCAGUUAAAAAGCUCGUAGUUGAACUUCAGAUCUGGCUGGGCGGUCUGCUUAACGGCGUGUACUGUCUGGCUGAGUCUUACCUCUUGGUGAGCCGGCGUGCCCUUUAUUGGUGUGCGUUGGGGAACCAGGACUUUUACCUUGAGAAAAUUAGAGUGUUCAAAGCAGGCAUUUGCCCGAAUACAUUAGCAUGGAAUAAUAAAAUAGGACGUGCGGUUCUAUUUUGUUGGUUUCUAGAGUCGCCGUAAUGAUUAAUAGGGAUAGUUGGGGGCAUUGGUAUUGAGUCGCUAGAGGUGAAAUUCUUGGAUUGACUCAAGACCGACUAUUGCGAAAGCAUUUGCCAAGGAUGUUUUCAUUAAUCAAGAACGAAGGUUAGGGGAUUGAAAACGAUCAGAUACCCUCUUGGAGGAGGCCCUGUGGGGGGUCUUGUGCAUCGCUCACCG
rnacentral:ncRNA from 1 species